UAGGGAAUCUUCGGCAAUGGACGAAAGUCUGGCCGAGCAACGCCGCGUGAGUGAAGAAGGUUUUCGGAUCGUAAAACUCUGUUGGUAGAGAAGAACGUUGGUGAGAGUGGAAAGCUCAUCAAGUGACGGUAACUACCCAGAAAGGGACGGCUAACUACGUGCCAGCAGCCGCGGUAAUACGUAGGUCCCGAGCGUUGUCCGGAUUUAUUGGGCGUAAAGCGAGCGCAGGUGGUUUAUUAAGUCUGGUGUAAAAGGCAGUGGCUCAACCAUUGUAUGCAUUGGAAACUGGUAGACUUGAGUGCAGGAGAGGAGAGUGGAAUUCCAUGUGUAGCGGUGAAAUGCGUAGAUAUAUGGAGGAACACCGGUGGCGAAAGCGGCUCUCUGGCCUGUAACUGACACUGAGGCUCGAAAGCGUGGGGAGCAAACAGGAUUAGAUACCCUGGUAGUCCACGCCGUAAACGAUGAGUGCUAGAUGUAGGGAGCUAUAAGUUCUCUGUAUCGCAGCUAACGCAAAUAAGCACUCCGCCUGGGGGAGUACGACCGCAAGGUUGAAAC
rnacentral:rRNA from 1 species